UAGGAAGGGAUAUUAGGUAUAGGACCACACUGAGGAGAGAGAAGAUAUUAUGAGUGUUAGUGUUUAGGAAGGGAUAUUAGGUAUAGGACCACACUGAGGAGAGAGAGAAGAUAUUAUGAGUGUUAGUGUUUAGGAAGGGAUAUUAGGUAUAGGACCACACUGAGGAGAGAGAGAAGAUAUUAUGAGUGUUAGUGUUUAGGAAGGGAUAUUAGGUAUAGGACCACACUGAGGAGAGAGAGAAGAUAUUAUGAGUGUUAGUGUUUAGGAAGGGAUAUUAGGUAUAGGACCACACUGAGGAGAGAGAGAAGAUAUUAUGAGUGUUAGUGUUUAGGAAGGGAUAUUAGGUAUAGGACCACACUGAGGAGAGAGAGAAGAUACUAUGAGUGUUAGUGUUUAGGAAGGGAUAUUAGGUAUAGGACCACACUGAGGAGAGAGAAGAUACUAUGAGUGUUAGUGUUUAGGAAGGGAUAUUAGGUAUAGGACCACACUGAGGAGAAAGAAGAUACUAUGAGUGUUAGUGUUUAGGAAGGGAUAUUAGGUAUAGGACCACACUGAGAAGAUAUUAUGAGUGUUAGUGUUUAGGAAGGGAUAUUAGGUAUAGGACCACACUGAGGAGAGAGAGAAGAUACUAUGAGUGUUAGUGUUUAGGAAGGGAUAUUAGGUAUAGGACCACACUGAGGAGAGAGAGAAGAUAUUAUGAGUGUUAGUGUUUAGGAAGGGAUAUUAGGUAUAGGACCACACUGAGGAGAGAGAGAAGAUACUAUGAGUGUUAGUGUUUAGGAAGGGAUAUUAGGUAUAGGACCACACUGAGGAGAGAGAAGAUACUCUGAGUGCUCUGUCUGUAUGAGCUGUCUGCAGCUGUAGUUCUGUCAAGGAGCAGCUGUUGGAAAUUGUUGAGGAUUUUUUUUCCCAUCUUAAAACAAGGUGAGGAUGCUAUAAACUGUUCAGAUUCUUCACCUCUAUUACAUAAGCAGUGUUAUUUGAGACACUGAAAUGUCCAUUCAGGGAGGUAUAGACACAGUCCAUUCAGGGAGGUAUAGACACAGUCCAUUCAGGGAGGUAUAGACACAGUCCAUUCAGGGAGGUAUAGACACAGUCCAUUCAGGGAGGUAUAGACACAGUCCAUUCAGGGAGGUAUAGACACAGUCCAUUCAGGGAGGUAUAGACACAGUCAGACAUUUUGCAAGUUCCUCCUGCCAUGGAUUCAGCAUUAGAAUGAUAGAUUGUGGAUCACUUUCCCACAAAAGGACCACAUUUCCACCCAGCACACACAUUCCUAAUGGACCGCCACAGUCGGGACCAGAUGUAGCUUCUUAACUGGACUUGUCUUCCCAUGAUGAACACUGGUGUUUGGAGACCUCAAUAACAUGUUGAGUAAACGCUCUUCGGAGGCCUCGCGCUUUACGCCUGCCAAGGUCCCACACAUAAACAGGAAGAGGAAGGAAUGUUGGGACUCUGCUGCUUCUUUUCAGAACUCACUUCCCCUCUCCCCUCUGGUGUGUCAUCAUCACCACUUUAUCAGAGCCCCUCGACAGGAGGAAAUGUACUCAGCGUUUCCCAGGGCAACCAGUAGUGCCCUCUUCCUGCUUUCAAUAGGUGAUACUUGUCCCUAGUUUAGCUGUGUCUAAUGGAUAUGUCUGUUUGCUAAGUGUGUUUAUCUGUAUUUUAAAUACAGCUGUCUGAUAAGUUGUGUGGUUACACCAUGAUACUGUAUACCCAUUCUUAAUAGUUACUGUACAGUAGUCAUACAGUAUGCUAUUAUUUGUAUGUCUCUGCCUCCAGUAUGAAGGAAGUUAGGUAGUUUGCGAGCCAAUGCUGGCUAGCAUUAGCACAAUGACUGGAAGUCUAUGGUAUCUACUAGCAUGCUGAGGACAGUAUCCUAUAAUACUUCACUAUCGGACUUGGUAAUGUGAAAGUGAAUGCUGGACUAAGGUUAUAUAUUCAUGGUUCUAUUGACAUAAACCUAUUUGACCCUGUGGACUCAGACGUGGCAGCCAUGACUGAUCAAGUACAGAGACAAAAUAUGGCUUAGCAUAGUCUCCUCACUGGCUGGGUCGGAAAAACACACAUUCUUUCUGCUGAAAUCAGAAACAUCCCUUAAAAGGAUAAGCCUAGAUCUCCCAUUGUUUUAUCUGGAAUAAGACAAAUGCAUGGAAAUGAUUUGAAUUAAUAGUGGGUAAAACAGCCAGCACCGUGAUCCAAAAUAAAUGUUCGUAACUCAGUUCCAGAAGUCCCUCUGUUUGGGCAACUGUGCAUAGCAACAUUUUUAGUCUUAAAACACUGUGUUGAUGUAGACUGACUUCUGUUAGACUGUAAAAUCCCUCAUUAUUCCAUAUGUGACUGUUAUUAGUUUUAUGUUUCUGACCCCUGCUUCUCUGGAGUCUACAGCUGUGUAUUGCUGUAGGCAGUUGGGAGGGAGCAGGGGAACAUUUGGGCAAAUCAAACAGCACAGAGCAUCCCUGUGCCCUUUUGCAGGGGUCAGAUGGCUAAAGGCAGGCAGUGUUUUUACUGGGCUUGUCUGCGCAGACACAGGCACCAUGCUCCUAAAAGUAAUGUCUGUGUCAAUAUGUUAUAGGCCAGACGAGAACAACUAGCGUUAACCUCUGCCUGAGUUAGAGCAGAGCAGAGUUGGCAUUUCCCCAGGCGUGCUGAUAAACGUUUUGGCAGGAAGGUCUUUGUAAAUGACUACAUUCCUUUAUAACCUUUUAAGGCUAUUUUUACCAUUCAAGGGCCUGUUCGUUCGGUAAGCACAGUUUUGUUUGUUGCACAGCGUGAAAACAGGAAAGACUGGUUUGUGUUCUGCACGAGUGGGAGGUUGUCUCCUGUUUCUGUCAAUAUAGAGGAUACAACCGUCAAGUUCAAAGUCAAACUAUUUUCUCAAUGCAUAUUCAUUUAUUUUUGAUGCACUAUUUAACUAAAUCGCAUAUAUCAUGAAUUUCACAAUUUCUCGCUGUGCCCUGACUGACCCCUACAUCACAGGGUGUUUCGGGGACAUUCCACGGGUCAAAAAGCCCUCUGACUACACGUCCACAGCAGCAGUGUAAGGACCCCUUGCAUGCAUUCUUCCUGUUGCCUGCUUGUCCCAGUGAAUGUGGCAUAGGUUGCGUCAGAGCUGUCCAGGGGCUGGGAAAGAAAUCAUGUCUUAAGAGGAUUAAGGGGACCGGGGCCACAUCUCUCCGGAGGCGACCACGGUUACAGUGAGAAUGACCCCGGCUGUCACCACGCGCCAACAUCAGUGGUGGUGUCUCAAUACCCAUGCCUCUCUCUCUUUCAAUAGAUGUACAUCAUGUUGAUAUGUUACUUAGUGUAUAGCAUAGUUAAUUUCUUUGCACCUGAAGACCAUUCAAUAAGUUGACCUCUAUUCACACCGUAAUUAUUCAAUAAAGGUGUGUUCAACUCUC